rnacentral:rRNA from 1 species
AGCAGUAGCCGCGGUAAAACAGAGGGUGCAAGCGUUAAUCGGAAUUACUGGGCGUAAAGCGCGCGUAGGUGGUUUGUUAAGUUGGAUGUGAAAUCCCCGGGCUCAACCUGGGAACUGCAUCCAAAACUGGCAAGCUAGAGUAUGGUAGAGGGUGGUGGAAUUUCCUGUGUAGCGGUGAAAUGCGUAGAUAUAGGAAGGAACACCAGUGGCGAAGGCGACCACCUGGACUGAUACUGACACUGAGGUGCGAAAGCGUGGGGAGCAAACAGGAUUAGAUACCCCCGUAGUCCCUGUCUCUUAUAC